GAGCUAUCAGACUUGGGCUGUGUCAGGACGACAAUGAAUUGUGUAGUCAGGAACAAAAUGUAUUCAUCACUUUGGAAAAAAAGUUUCCCCGGGUACUUAAAGGGUUCCAAGUCCGUGACGUUCGUCCCUUGCCGAGGGCGUGUCCUGGUAUGAUGUCCAGGAAGGCUACACGCGACCAUGGAUCGGUCUUCUAGAAUAGCGAGAUAGACCAUGAUAGUUAACGUAUGCAUAGGAGGUUGGUGUAUUACUGUCGGAGAGGUCGUGAAGUCGGCAGAUUUUCUUCAUAUAAGACAAGAGAGGUAUCAUCCUGGCCGUGUCACGGCAUGGCGAAACACGGGGAUUAGUGAGAUGAAACAGAUGAUCAGAGAGAUGAUAAAGGAUAUGACAGAUACCACUGUUUAUGGGAAUCAUCAUCAACUGAUGUGUAAA